ACAGAAGUCCAGAGUAAUCUGUCGUUCCCCUGCAUCGAAUUAUCAGUUCCCAACUCGGGAGGUAUGGGUAACCUACUUGGUUUAAUCCUGUGUGUCUGUUUACCCUGUUAUUUCAGUCAGUCAGUGACACAGAGCCCAGAAGCAGUGACUAAGAAGGAAUGUCAGACUCUCACGAUCAACUGUGUUUUUAAAAGUCUUUAUUCUUAUCAUUAUUUUGAGAGUGGAGAAUUCUUUAGACAAACGCGGGCAGCGACGAAAUGGGAGCAGAUGUCCAGCGGCGGGAGAUUUUUUGUGUACACAGAUAAAGCACAAAAGACAUUUUCGUUGGAAAUUCGGGAUGUCAGAGUUGAAGACACCGCCACCUAUUACUGUAAAGCUCGUUACUGGGAUGGCACACACAGUGAUGGACUACGGCUUUCGUCCCACAAAAACUCUCAUUGGAGAUUGUUGCAAAAAGAAAUUGAAAAAAGAGCCAAUCUGCCAGAAACUCCCACAUUUCUGCCUCACAGCGGCUGCCCCGCAGUACAAUUUGCUAUUAGACUGGAUUAA